AAAAAAAUUGCAGCGAUGAUAUCAAUCACUGGGAUUUGAAAUGGAAUUUAAACGACUUCGGAGGAACUAAUGGGCGACGGGAGAGAAGAUCCAUCUUCGAUAGGUGAAAUACUUGACGGGCAAACAGAGGCGACCCCCACUUCAAAUGACGCAGCAGAAUAACAGAACGAGAGAGCAAGAUUUUUCGUCGUACUUCGAUUGUAUCCGGCUGCCGUUUAUUCGUGUACCGGAUUUCGAAUGAAGCGACGUGGCUAAUCAGAUUGCGUAUACGUGUGCAACCUCUGGCAGAACCUUCGUGAUUUCAAAGUGAGAAUGUGCGGAAUGGCAGAAACGGGUGCGGUCCUCUAUUCCCGCAAGGGCCGUUUGGUACAACUCCCCAAUCACGAAACAAAGCAGGAAAAAACCAAACAUGUAGCUUCUCUUGCAUUAACUAGAAGGUGAUUAAAAGUAACCAGAUAAUGAAGUUUUCUUUUAAAAAAAAAAUAUGAAACUUUUCAUAUUGGGGAAAGGAGCUGGGCUUGCCACACCCUAAACGACAAAUCAAAAACCGUAGCCACUUGUUUGUCAAGUUCGAAAUUAAUACGAUGGGCAAACAUCACAAGAAAUUGAUGUCAGCACUUAAAAAAUAGUGUUAGAUGAGGUAACUGUUAUCGAUAAGGAAGGUCCUUCGACUGUAGUCCAUACAAUUUAUAUGUAAAGAUAAACAGGCUUGAUCGUGACUGAGCCAAUUUCCUUUUCAAAGACGAGCUCUGGAUAAACUAAAGAUUAUUUUUUAUUAUUUACUAGCGUCCUAAUGUUCUCAGUAAAUUAUCAAGGGUUCCAUUAGCCCUAGUAGUGACAUGUCCCGACAUUCUUGUUUGGCUUUCCGCAUGUUGCGCUUUUGCCAAUCUUCAUCACUCACGCAGCCGCAGGCACAAAUUACAAUUUGAUUUUGAAAUCAAGUGAUCCGUUCACCAAAAUAAACUGUAUCUACGGGGAAACUGAAAUUAACGGGAGAUCAACAUCAUGCAGAAGAAGAGGGCAAAGUACAAAUAGUCGGUUGAACAGUGACUCAAAUGGACACGCCUCAAGAUCGGAAACGUUACAUCUACGAAACUGAAUUUACAGUUGGACGAACACUUGUUGCAGCAGCCAAAUUUUGACAAAUGAACAUUAUCAGCUAUUAAUUUCGCCAUCCUGUGAAUGAUUUCAAAUUUGAUUGCUGUAGUAAACGAUUUCUCAGUCCACUGGAUAUUUUGCUUGAUCAUGUGCGUAUUGUUAGCCAAUAUUUUCAGUAUAUCUAAGACUUGAUCUUCGUUGAUUCGCGGGGAUCAAUCAAACCUGAUAAUAAUUCAGUCAUCGGUUAAGAAAAACCGACCAGCCCAAAUAGAAAGAGCGUAGCCAACACUUACAGGCUUGAUAAUCUUGACACAAUAAUUAUAAAGUACCCGUAUAUGUUAUUCUCCUCUUCCAAGACAAGACUUGUAACAUGGACUUAUUAACAACACUUGCAAUUCCUGUUGUGCAACAACUGUACUGAAUGCUGAUAAGUAUUCAGAGACAAGACAUCGUGUACCGUAGUGCUCU
rnacentral:lncRNA from 1 species